CGUCACUAUCAAGCCAUAACAUUGCGUCAAUUGUAAACAUUGGGAUCUUGUCUAUAGUAUUGACCUGACGAUGUGUGAAGGAAUAUAAAUAAGGAAUGUUCAAGUUAUUUAUAUCGAAAGGUUUUUACUUUCAUUAUCAGGUGAAUUCUUUGUCAACAAUACAAUCCGUUAGAUAAAGCAUGGCGGAGGGAAGACAUCGUGGUUAUGGCAGACGGUCACAAGGAAAAUUUAAUCUAGGUGUCAUAGGACGGUCCAAUAGCGGAAAGUCGUCGUUAAUCAAACUUAUGGUGGAGUCGAAGUUGGGACCGGGAAAUGGCGAUCUUCCUAAGACAGAUUUUCUAGAGUGUACAGAAAAAUGCGAGAAAUUCGAAAUUCCUGGUUGUUCAAUUGUAUUAUGGGAUGUACCUGGAGUUGGAACACAAAACGAAGGCUUAGAGGGGUAUGAUGAAAGAAUUGAAAUAGAGAAAUAUGAUGGUUUCGUUGUUUGCUGUGGUGGACCUGUUACUGAGUAUGAACUUGCUUUAAAUAAUCUAAUAGCAAGUCAUGGGCGAAGAUACAUUUUCGUCAGAACAAAAGUUGACGCUGCUAUUGAAAAUGAAAAGAAGGCACAUCCGUCAACCUUUGACGAAAAAGAAACAUUGAAGAAACUAAGAGAUGGGAUUAUUGAAAAACUUUCGGAAAGUGGAGUAACUGAGUUUCUCGUGAGUAAUCGUCACCCUGACAAAUUUGACUUUGAUACGCUAAAAUUUAUUAUAUGCGACAAAGGAGCUUUGGCUUCAUAUAUGAAGAGUUGUAAUAAGAAAGUGAAAAAAGAAAACUGGAAGAGAAAACAAGUAGAAUCAGACUGCUAAUCAUCGAUUUAUGGCACACAAAGUUAUAUUCUUAGAUCAGUCGUAACAUAUAUGUGACGUCUGAACAAUGAUCAUUUCGACACUUUAAUGAAUAAUAUAAGCUAUGUAUCAUAAUCUCAUAUUUCACGUAUUUGCAUUACGGCCAAUGGACAAUUUAAUGAUUGAACAGACAGGACUGUGGUACAACUCGUUUUAAUCUGCGAUAUUUUGUAUAAGAAGUUAUCCAAGACAAAACAAACACUAGGUGCUCAUCGUUUUACGGAUUGUUAUUUAUAUUUAUAAUUACAUAAUUUAAUUUUGGA